AACUGCGUACGGCUCAUUACAUCAGCUAUAACUUUCUUUGAUCAUAAAUUCUAAAUGGAAUAACCGAGGAAAAGCCUGGGCUAAUACAUGCGACAAUUCCGGUAGUAAUAUCGGAAUGCUUUUAUUAGAUCAAAACCUUCUAGUUCUUUAACCGGAACUGUUUGUUGGUGACUCUAAAUAACUUUGUGUUGAUCGUAUGACCUUCGUGUCGACGACAUAUCUUUCAAGUGUCUGACUUAUCAACUUUAGACGGUACAUUAUAUGUCUACCGUGGUUGUAACGAGUACAGAGAAUCAGGGUUUGGUUCUGGAGAGGCCGCCUGAGAAACGGCGACCACUUCCAAGGAAGGCAGCAGGCGCGCAAAUUACCCACUCUCAAAACGAGGAGGUAGUGAAGAGAAAUAACGAUGUUAGUCUUUUAUAGGCUGAUAAUCGGAAUGGAAACACUGUAAACAGGUUAUUGAUUAACAAUUGGAGGGCAAGUCUGGUGCCAGCAGCCGCGGUAAUUCCAGCUCCAAUAAGGAAAACUAAAGUUGCUGUGUUUAAAAAGCUCGUAGUUGAAUUUCGGGUAUUUGUUGCUAGCUGGUCUAACUGGCCAUGUUGGUUAACAGAUCCUCAUUUGCUGGACGGCUGGCGAUGAUCUUUAUCGGUUGUCGUCAGUUGCCAGAACGUUUACUUUGAGAAAAUUAGAGUGCUAAAAGCAGGCUCACGCCUAUAUAUAUUGCAUGGAAUAAUGAAAUAAGAUCUCGAUUUUAUUUCGUUGGUUUUAGAAAUUGAGAUAAUGAUUAAUAGGAUCAGAGGGGGGCGUACGUACUGUGGUGUGAGAGGUGAAAUUCUUGGAUCGCCACAGACGA
rnacentral:rRNA from 1 species